rnacentral:rRNA from 1 species
AUUGAACGCUGGCGGAAUGCUUUACACAUGCAAGUCGAACGGCAGCACGGACUUCGGUCCGGUGGCGAGUGGCGAACGGGUGAGUAAUAUAUCGGAACGUGCCCAGUCGUGGGGGAUAACGUAGUGAAAAUUACGCUAAUACCGCAUACGAUCUACGGAUGAAAGCGGGGGAUCGCAAGACCUCGCGCGAUUGGAGCGGCCGAUAUCAGAUUAGGUAGUUGGUGAGGUAAAGGCUCACCAAGCCAACGAUCUGUAGCUGGUCUGAGAGGACGACCAGCCACACUGGGACUGAGACACGGCCCAGACCCCUACGGGAGGCAGCAGUGGGGAAUUUUGGACAAUGGACGCAAGUCUGAUCCAGCCAUUCCGCGUGCAGGACGAAGGCCUUCGGGUUGUAAACUGCUUUUGUACAGAACGAAAAGGUUUCUAUUAAUACUAGGGGCUCAUGACGGUACUGUAAGAAUAAGCACCGGCUAACUACGUGCCAGCCGCCGCAGUAA